GUGAACGCUGGCGGUAGGCCUAACACAUGCAAGUCGAACGGCAGCACAGUAAGAGCUUGCUCUUACGGGUGGCGAGUGGCGGACGGGUGAGGAAUACAUCGGAAUCUACUUUUUCGUGGGGGAUAACGUAGGGAAACUUACGCUAAUACCGCAUACGACCUACGGGUGAAAGCAGGGGAUCUUCGGACCUUGCGCGAUUUCAUGAGCCGAUGUCGGAUUAGCUAGUUGGCGGGGUAAAGGCCCACCAAGGCGACGAUCCGUAGCUGGUCUGAGAGGAUGAUCAGCCACACUGGAACUGAGACACGGUCCAGACUCCUACGGGAGGCAGCAGUGGGGAAUAUUGGACAAUGGGCGCAAGCCUGAUCCAGCCAUGCCGCGUGGGUGAAGAAGGCCUUCGGGUUGUAAAGCCCUUUUGUUGGGAAAGAAAAGCAGCAGGUUAAUACCCCGCUGUUCUGACGGUACCCAAAGAAUAAGCACCGGCUAACUUCGUG
rnacentral:rRNA from 1 species